AUUGAACGCUGGCGGAAGGCCUAACACAUGCAAGUCGAACGAGUGGCGGACGGGUGAGUAAUGUCUGGGAAAAUGCCUGAUGGAGGGGGAAAAAUACUGGAAAAGGUAGCUAAUACCGCAUACCAUCAGAUGUGCCAAGAUUGGAUUAGCUAGUAGGUGGGGUAAUGGCUCACCUAGGCGCCGAUCCCUAGCUGGUCUGAGAGGAUGACCAUCCACACUGUAACUGCGACACGUUCCAGACUCCUACGUGAGGCAGCAGUGGGGAAUAUUGCACAAUGGGCGCAAGCCUGAUGCAGCCAUGCCGCGUGUGUGAAGAAGGCCUUCGGGUUGUAAAGCACUUUCAGCGAGGAGGCGUGACUCGCAGAAGAAGCACCGGCUAACUCCGUGCCAGCAGCCGCGGUAAUAC
rnacentral:rRNA from 1 species